rnacentral:rRNA from 1 species
AUUGAACGCUGGCGGCAGGCCUAACACAUGCAAGUCGAGCGGAUGAAGGGAGCUUGCUCCUGGAUUCAGCGGCGGACGGGUGAGUAAUGCCUAGGAAUCUGCCUGGUCGUGGGGGAUAACGUCCGGAAACGGGCGCUAAUACCGCAUCCGUCCUGAGGGAGAAAGUGGGGGAUCUUCGGACCUCACGCUAUCAGCUGAGCCUAGGUCGGAUUAGCUAGUUGGUGGGGUAAAGGCCUACCAAGGCGACGAUCCGUAACUGGUCUGAGAGGAUGAUCAGUCACACUGGAACUGAGACACGGUCCAGACUCCUACGGGAGGCAGCAGUGGGGAAUAUUGGACAAUGGGCGAAAGCCUGAUCCAGCCAUGCCGCGUGUGUGAAGAAGGUCUUCGGAUUGUAAAGCACUUUAAGUUGGGAGGAAGGGCAGUAAGUUAAUACCUGGCUGUUUUGACGUUACCAACAGAAUAAGCACCGGCUAACUUCGUG